GACGAACGCUGGCGGCGUGCCUAAUACAUGCAAGUAGAACGCUGAAGGAGGAGCUUUCUUCUCUGGAUGAGUUGCGAACGGGUGAGUAACGCGUAGGUAACCUGCCUUGUAGCGGGGGAUAACUAUUGGAAACGAUAGCUAAUACCGCAUAACAGUAGAUAUCGCAUGAUAUCUACUUGAAAGGUGCAAUUGCAUCACUACCAGAUGGACCUGCGUUGUAUUAGCUAGUUGGUGAGGUAACGGCUCACCAAGGCGACGAUACAUAGCCGACCUGAGAGGGUGAUCGGCCACACUGGGACUGAGACACGGCCCAGACUCCUACGGGAGGCAGCAGUAGGGAAUCUUCGGCAAUGGACGGAAGUCUGACCGAGAAACGCCGCGUGAGUGAAGAAGGUUUUCGGAUCGUAAAGCUCUGUUGUAAGAGAAGAACGAGUGUGAGAGUGGAAAGUUCACACUGUGACGGUAUCUUACCAGAAAGGGACGGCUAACUACGUG
rnacentral:rRNA from 1 species